ensembl:snoRNA small nucleolar RNA U109
CUGCUUGUCACAAUACCUGUUCCUCAUCCUUUUAAGAGCAUGAUUACAUCUGUAACAUACUAUAUUUAAAAAGAAUUGCUAGGACUGCCAACCUAACAAAGGUUAUGUAGAAGUGCAUGUUUCCUUAAAAG